rnacentral:siRNA from 1 species
UAUGUGUUCAUUAUGUUCAGUGGU